rnacentral:rRNA from 1 species
AUUGAACGCUGGCGGCAGGCCUAACACAUGCAAGUCGAACGAGUGGCGGACGGGUGAGUAAUGUCUGGGAAACUGCCCGAUGGAGGGGGAUAACUACUGGAAACGGUAGCUAAUACCGCAUACCAUCGGAUGUGCCCAGAUGGGAUUAGCUAGUAGGUGGGGUAACGGCUCACCUAGGCGACGAUCCCUAGCUGGUCUGAGAGGAUGACCAGCAACACGGGAAUUGAGACACGGUCCAGACCACUACGGGAGGCAGCAGUGGGGAAUAUUGUACAAGGGGCGAAAGCCUGAUACAGCCAUGCCGCGUGGAUGAAGAAGGCCUUCGGGUUGUAAAGUACUUUCAGCGAGGAGGCGUUACUCGCAGAAGAAGCACCGGCUAACUCCGUGCCAGCAGCCGCGGUAAUUC